rnacentral:rRNA from 1 species
UAGUCCACGUCGUAAACGAUGAUCACUCGCUGUUGGCGACACAUAGUCAGCGGCCAAGCGAAAGCAUUAAGUGAUCCACCUGGGGAGUACGCCGGCAACGGUGAAACUCAAAGGAAUUGACGGGGGCCCGCACAAGCGGUGGAACAUGUGGUUUAAUUCGAUGAUACGCGAGGAACCUUACCUGGGCUUAAAUGUAGAGUGCAUGUUCUGGAAACAGGACUUUCCUUCGGGACUCUUUACAAGGUGCUGCAUGGUUGUCGUCAGCUCGUGCCGUGAGGUGUCGGGUUAAGUCCCAUAACGAGCGCAACCCUUAUCGUUAGUUGCCAUCAGGUCAAGCUGGGGACUCUAACGAAACUGCCGGUGUAAACCGAGAGGAAGGUGGGGAUGACGUCAAAUCAGCACGGGCCCUUAUGUCCAGGGGCUACACACGUGUUACAAUGGUCGGUACAAAGGGGCAGCUACUUGGCAACAAGAUGCAAAUCCCUAAAACGGGUCUCAGUUCGGGAUUGAAGUCUGCAAC